GACGAACGCUGGCGGCGUGCUUAACACAUGCAAGUCGAACGGUAAGGCCCUUCGGGGUACACGAGUGGCGAACGGGUGAGUAACACGUGGGUGAUCUGCCCUGCACUUCGGGAUAAGCCUGGGAAACUGGGUCUAAUACCGGAUAGGACUCCUGGCUUCAUGGCUGGGGGUGGAAAGCUUUUGCGGUGUGGGAUGGGCCCGCGGCCUAUCAGCUUGGUGGUGGGGUAAUGGCCGACCAAGGCGACGACGGGUAGCCGGCCUGAGAGGGUGACCGGUCACACUGGACGUGAGAGACGGCCCAGAGUCCUACGGGAGGCAGCAGUGGGGAAUAUUGCACAAUGGGCGCAAGCCUGGUGCGGCGACGCCGCGUGAGGGAUGACGGCCUUCGGGUUGUAAACCUCUUUCAGCUAUGACGAAGCGCAAGUGACGGUAGUAGCAGAAGAAGGACCGGCCAACUACGUGCCAGCCGCCGCCGUAA
rnacentral:rRNA from 1 species